rnacentral:rRNA from 1 species
CGGCACCUCAAGUGGUCAGGAUGAUUAUUGGGCCUAAAGCAUCCGUAGCCGGCUCUGUAAGUUUUCGGUUAAAUCUGUACGCUCAACGUACAGGCUGCCGGGAAUACUGCAGAGCUAGGGAGUGGGAGAGGUAGACGGUACUCGGUAGGAAGGGGUAAAAUCCUUUGAUCUAUUGAUGACCACCUGUGGCGAAGGCGGUCUACCAGAACACGUCCGACGGUGAGGGAUGAAAGCUGGGGGAGCAAACCGGAUUAGAGACCCGUGUAGUCC